UCGCUCAGCACCUCGACCAAAGGCUUCAACACUGGAGCACACAGACACAUACCAAUCAAAAAAGUGCUGCAAGAACAAAGGAUGUCUGGCUUUAGAGUUUGUGUUUACCAGCUGACCCCAAAUACAGAUGCAGCCUUCAGGUCAGUGAAGUGUGUGUGUAGGAUUCGGAUGGUGUCAUAACACACCACAUUGACGAGGUCAAUCUCAGCAAGCCUGGAUCGCAACUGCCCAAUCAUCUGCCACCAAUCCUCUGACAGCAUG